ensembl:misc_RNA Metazoa_SRP Metazoan signal recognition particle RNA
GCCGGGUGUGGUGACGCAUGCCUGUAGUCCCAGCUACUCAGGAGGCUGAGGCAGGGGAAUCACUUGAACCCAGGAGGUGGAGGUUGCAGUGAGCCGAAAUCACACCACUGCACUCCAGCCUGGGUGACAAAGCGAGACUUCGUCUCAA